rnacentral:rRNA from 1 species
GAUGAACGCUGGCGGCGUGCCCAAUACAUGCAAGUCGAGCGAACGGACGAGAAGCUUGCUUCUCUGAUGUUAGCGGCGGACGGGUGAGUAACACGUGGAUAACCUACCUAUAAGACUGGGAUAACUUCGGGAAACCGGAGCUAAUACCGGAUAAUAUUUUGAACCGCAUGGUUCAAAAGUGAAAGACGGUCUUGCUGUCACUUAUAGAUGGAUCCGCGCUGCAUUAGCUAGUUGGUAAGGUAACGGCUUACCAAGGCAACGAUGCAUAGCCGACCUGAGAGGGUGAUCGGCCACACUGGAACUGAGACACGGUCCAGACUCCUACGGGAGGCAGCAGUAGGGAAUCUUCCGCAAUGGGCGAAGGCCUGACGGAGCAACGCCGCGUGAGUGAUGAAGGUCUUCGGAUCGUAAAACUCUGUUAUUAGGGAAGAACAUAUGUGUAAGUAACUGUGCACAUCUUGACGGUACCUAAUCAGAAAGCCACGGCUAACUACGUG